GUAGGUGGCAAGCGUUGUCCGGGAAUUAUUGGGGCGUAAAGCGCGCGCAGGCGGUUCUUUAAGUCUGAUGUGAAAGCCCACGGGCUCAACCGUGGAGGGUCAUUGGAAACUGGAGAACUUGAGUACAGAAGAGGAAAGCGGAAUUCCACGUGUAGCGGUGAAAUGCGUGGAGAUGUGGAGGAACACCAGUGGCGAAGGCGGCUUUCUGGUCUGUAACUGACGCUGAGGCGCGAAAGCGUGGGGAGCAAACAGGAUUAGAUACCCUGGUAGUCCACGCCGUAAACGAUGAGUGCUAAGUGUUAGGGGGUUUCCGCCCCUUAGUGCUGCAGCUAACGCAUUAAGCACUCCGCCUGGGGAGUACGGCCGCAAAGGCUG
rnacentral:rRNA from 1 species